ACACAGCUCUAGCAGGAGGUGGAGUGAAUUUUGCGCACGACACCAAAAAUUGCUUGCAAAAGGAAAAUAAAUAUAGCAUCUUAAGCUUUUGAUGGAUAUUAAACAUACUGGAUUUGUCGAACGAACAUUGUGUUCAUAUUUGAAGCUGUUUCUUUUCCUUUCUUCGUCUAACUUUUGCUAACUCAAAAUGCCUGGAGGACCAUGUGGAGCCAACUGCAACUGCGAGAAAUGCCGUUGCUGCUCAGCUGCUGCAAAGUGCAGUGCAGGCUGCAAGUGUGACGUAUGCCGUUGCUGUCAACGAGGACAAAAAUGCAACUGCGGCGACUGCAGAUGCUGUGGCGCAGCAAAGUGUUAAUCCAGAUUGCUAAACCGUUAACUGGCCAUAUUUUUUCUAAAAUCUGCAGAAUAACUAGUGAUAAAAGAAAAAAGCUUAUAAACUUAGCAGCUUGCAGAAUAGUAGUUUGUUUCCAGAUGUAAGCAAGAGUUGAAAUAAAUAUUUAUUGCUUUUA